ensembl:lncRNA novel transcript
GACACCCACUCACACUCGCCGACUGCUCCCUUCAUGGAUGAAGAGGAAGCUGAGAGCCGCAGAUGGAAGCUUCCUCCUCCCGUGUGCAGCGUUCUGCAUACUGGAGGCAGAGGACCUGGACUGACAGCUAUGAGGACCUGGACUGACAGCUAUGAGGACCUGGACUGAGCAGCUAUGAGCACCUGGACUGACAGCUGUGAGGACCUGGACUAAACGGCUAUGAGGACCUGGACUAAACGGCUAUGAGGACCUGGACUGAACAGCUAUGAGCACCUGACUGAGCAGCUAUGAGGACCUGGACUGAGCAGCUAUGAGGACCUGGACUGAGCAGCUAUGAGGACCUGGAAUGAGCAGCUAUGAGCACCUGGACUGAGCAGCUAUGAGGACCUGGACUGAGCAGCUAUGAACCUUGAGCAGGGAAUGUCUCUGUGCCUCAGUUUCCUUACUUGUAAAACAAGGAAGUGGAACCAGAGCCCCCCCCAUUCUUGCUCAUGCACUCCCACGGUCCUGGACAAUACUGAGCAAUCUACAGAUAUCAACGUAGCAUAAUUUGAGCCUCCUUGUUUUUCUAAAAUGGGAAGAUUUUAACUGAGAAGCAGCCUUUUCAAGAAUACCAUAGUUACUCUAUUGCAUACUGGAACUCCAGCUGCAUUCUAUUACAUCAGUAUUAUAUAAUACCUCUUUCUCUCUUAAAAAAAAAUAAAAAAAGUCCUGUAAAGAGCAGAACUAAAGUAUUACAGAGAACAACAAGAGGCAUUUUUCACGAUUAGCCACUUAAUUCGAAGGAUUAGGACUCAAGCAUAAUACCGCACAGGAAGGGAGCAUUGCAUAAUUAAAAACUCUUUUAUAAACUGCAGCAUUAAAACUGCCAUGGCCAGUGAGCUUGGGAGUGUUUCCAUGGUGGAGUGCUAUUAUCGGCCUAAGAUGCUUCUCAGAAAUGCAAUUCCAAGUUCAUAAACCCAGCGAGGACCCGCACUCCCAAUUCCAGGCAGUUUUUGAAGCACUGUGGAAAAUCCGGUGACGUAGGAUGUGCCCGUUCCCCCAGCAGGGGUGGCUGCCAUGCUGUUGACAGGGAUGGGUGUGGACGCAGAGAGAGCCCAGGCAGACGAGGUGGGGAGCACGGGUGAGCAAUGGGGCUGCCAUGGAAUUAAAGCAUGCGGCUCUAGGGGCCCCAGGAAGCCAGGAGGACAGAAGCCCAACCACCCGAAACAGAGGAGGAGGAGUGAGGCCAUCAGGUGCUAAGGGGGUCACUGGAGCCCCUAGGACAUGGCCUCUGACUGCACGCCCAGACCUUUCAGCAUGCCCACAUGCUCCUGCAGCCAGGGCCUCGGCAGCUUGCCUUCCCAUCCCCUGCAGCAGCAGGUCCAGUCCUGCCUCGUCUCCCUCGCAAGAGGGCUCAGGGCUGCUGCGUGGAAGGAAACGAAUUGUCCCUGCAACAGUCUCUCACCCAGGAAAACCCCACACAGCACACAGCUCGGGAGUUGGUCCUUGGAUGUUGGGGAUGAGCUUCCCUCCCAGCCCCUUCUGCCUUCCCAGGAAGCAAGCCCAGGGGCGGCAUCUGGACUCCUCUCUGUCCCCCAUGCUCCUGCCUGGUGCACGUGCCUUGUCUGAAAGGAGAGUCUGAGAGCAGGGACCUUGUGCUUGGCUCCACUCAGUGCCUCCUGCUUUCCCACAGGACGGGGCCUUGCUGCCUGCAGGUGCCCUCAUCCACGUCGUCCACAUCAUCCACAUUGUCCGUGUCUGGCCUGGGCUGUCUCCCAGUGCCCGAGCUGACCCUCGUGGGCUCGUAUGGACUACAGGGUUAGUGACUUUAAAAAAAAAAAAAAUCAAGUUAGCCUAACUCACAAGUCCAAGCAAACAAAUAAGGAAACAAGGCCCCUUGCCAGGGGUCCUAAUGCGGCCGGAGUCUAUCCCAGCAGGUCAAGCCCCUGCACUGCUGGCAUCCCAUGGAAAAUGAGCCCCCCUUCUCCACGGGUUCCCCAACACCUCAGAAGUCCAGGAAGACACAGUGAUGAUUCAUACAUUUUGCCAAAGAGGGAUGAUUUCAUGAAAUCUCCAAAUGAUCACGAUAACAUCCCAGCCAUUAGGGAUACUAAGCCAGCCACCGAAAUUGGCAGAGAAGCCCUCAUCUUUGAGAGGAGUAGGAAGCAACACAUAUACUCUAUGUCCAGAAUUAGAAUCCAUACUGGCAUGCUGUUCCUAUACAUCAACCCGAACCCCAGCCCCCAACCCCACUCACUGGAGGCAGAAUGGUGUGGGUUCAGCCUCAGCUCAGAUGCUCACUAGCCAGAAGACCAGAAAGCACCUACCUCCCUAAGCACCAACCUCUUCAUCUAGAACAUGAAAGUCACAUCCUUCUCCUGCCUCUGUCCCCAAAGUGAGCUAAGCUCAGAAGAGCCAAGCCCAGGAAAGUAUUUAGAAAAUGGAUCCAUUGAACAGCUCUUCCAUUGCAGGUCAGAUUCUUCAAUGAAUUCUUUAAUUGAACCAUUUGUUAACUAAUAUCAUGUGUUGGCUUUUGGUUUUACUAUGUUUUAGUACAAAUAUCCAGGGACAAACUCUUCAGCUGACUACAUCUGAUGACUAAAUUGUUCAAUUGCUUCUGUAAUUUUCUCUAUCCUGGUGAUGACAUCUUGAGAGGUGAAGCCAGCUGUGCUUCUGGGUCAGGUGGGGACUUGGAGAACUUUUCUUUCUAGCUAAAGGAUUGUAAAUGCACCAAUCAGCACUCUGUGUGUAGCUAAAGGAUUGUAAAUGCACCAAUCAGCAUUCUGUAAAAAUGGACCAAUCAGCAUUCUGUAAAAUGGACCAAUCAGCACUCUGUAAAAUGGACCAAUCAGUGCUCUGUAAAAUGGACCAAUCAACAGGACAUGGGCGGGGACAAAUAAGGGAAUAAAAGCUGGCCACU